GCUGUAGCUCAGUGGCAGAGCACAUGCUUAGCAUUUAGAAGGACCCGGGUUCAAUUUCUGGCAUCUCCA
rnacentral:tRNA from 1 species